rnacentral:precursor_RNA from 15 species
AAAACAUUUCUUUUUUUCGGGAGGCAGAGCAGGCAAGAUGUCGGCAUAGCUGAAGGUGUUUGAAACGGCUAUGUCUCAUCCGGCCAACUUAAGCCUUCCUCGGCGGCUUUAAUAAAGC